rnacentral:rRNA from 1 species
AAAUUUGUAAUCUGGCGUCUACGACGUCCGAGUUGUAAUCUCGAGAAGUGUUUUCCGUGAUAGACCGCAUACAAGUCUCUUGGAACAGAGCGUCAUAGUGGUGAGAACCCAGUACACGAUGCGGAUGCCUAUUACUUUGUGAUACACUUUCGAAGAGUCGAGUUGUUUGGGAAUGCAGCUCAAAUUGGGUGGUAAAUUCCAUCUAAAGCUAAAUAUUGGCGAGAGACCGAUAGCGAACAAGUACCGUGAGGGAAAGAUGAAAAGCACUUUGGAAAGAGAGUUAACAGUACGUGAAAUUGUUGGAAGGGAAACACAUGCAGCCAGACUUGCUAUUCGGGGCAACUCGAUUGGCAGGCCCGCAUCAGUUUUUCGGGGCGGAAAAUCAUAGAGAGAAGGUAGCAAUUUCGGUUGUGUUAUAGCUCUUUAUUGGAUUCGCCCUGGGGGACUGAGGAACGCAGCGUGCUUUUAGCAUAAGCUUCGGCUUAUCCACGCUUAGGAUGCGGGUGUAAUGGCUGUAUAUGA